ensembl:snRNA U5 U5 spliceosomal RNA
UCACUCUUGUUUCUCUUCAGAUCGUAUAAAUCUUUCGCCUUUUACUAAAGAUUUCCGUGGAGAGGAACAAUAAGAGUAUAACUCAAUUUUUUGAUGCCCUGCUUUACUGCGGGGCU